GACGAACGCUGGCGGCGUGCUUAACACAUGCAAGUCGAACGGAAAGGCCCUGCUUUUGUGGGGGGCUCGAGUGGCGAACGGGUGAGUAACACGAGAGUAACCUGCCCUUGACUUUGGGAUAACUUCAGGAAACUGGGGCUAAUACCGUAUAGGAGCUCCUGCUGCUUGGUGGGGGUUGGACAGUUUCGGCGGUUGGGGAUGGACUCGCGGCUUAUCAGCUUGUUGGUGGGGUAGUGGCUUACCAAGGCUUUGACGGGUAGCCGGCCUGAGAGGGUGACCGGCCACAUUGGGACUGAGAUACGGCCCAGACUCCUACGGGAGGCAGCAGUGGGGAAUAUUGCACAAUGGGCGGAAGCCUGAUGCAGCAACGCCGCGUGCGGGAUGACGGCCUUCGGGUUGUAAACCGCUUUCGCCUGUGACGAAGCGUGAGUGACGGUAAUGGGUAAAGAAGCACCGGCUAACUACGUG
rnacentral:rRNA from 1 species